rnacentral:snRNA from 1 species
GUUCCCUUUGGCAGCACAUACACUAAAAUUGGAACAGAGAAGAUUAGCAUGACCCUUGCAUAAGGAUGAUAUGCAAAUUCAUGAAAUGUUCCAUAUUUUU